GACAGAGGGUGCAAACGUUGCUCGGAAUUACUGGGCGUAAAGCGCGUGUAGGCGGACCACCAAGUCGGACGUGAAAGCCCUCGGCUCAACCAAGGAAGUGCAUCCAAAACUGUAGCGCUUGAGUACUUAAGAGGAUCGCGGAAUUCCCGGUGUAGAGGUGAAAUUCGUAGAUAUCGGGAGGAACACCAGUGGCGAAGGCGGCGAUCUGGGAAGAUACUGACGCUGAGGUGCGAAAGCGUGGGGAGCAAACA
rnacentral:rRNA from 1 species